CAGCUAAGAAUUUUUCUUUCCAAAAAGCUUGGUUUGAAUCUUCCCUUAACAUUAAUCGAGUAAGGAAAGAGGUUUUAUAAGAUUGGAAGUCACUUAAUUGUUUACAUUUUAAAUUACUUAAGAGUUCCACAUUUUUAUCUUUUAUAUGGGAUGGAUCUCCUAUAAAAUGUAAUGAAAUAGUGAGUAUUAAGGUUGCAACAGCAUCCUGAAUUGG
rnacentral:lncRNA from 1 species